GGGGAAUCUUGCGCAAUGGGCGAAAGCCUGACGCAGCCAUGCCGCGUGAAUGAUGAAGGUCUUAGGAUUGUAAAAUUCUUUCACCGGGGACGAUAAUGACGGUACCCGGAGAAGAAGCCCCGGCUAACUUCGUGCCAGCAGCCGCGGUAAUACGAAGGGGGCUAGCGUUGCUCGGAAUUACUGGGCGUAAAGGGAGCGUAGGCGGACAUUUAAGUCAGGGGUGAAAUCCCGGGGCUCAACCUCGGAAUUGCCUUUGAUACUGGGUGUCUUGAGUAUGAGAGAGGUGUGUGGAACUCCGAGUGUAGAGGUGAAAUUCGUAGAUAUUCGGAAGAACACCAGUGGCGAAGGCGACACACUGGCUCAUUACUGACGCUGAGGCUCGAAAGCGUGGGGAGCAAACAGGAUUAGAUACCCUGGUAGUCCACGCCGUAAACGAUGAUUGCUAGUUGUCGGGAUGCAUGCAUUUCGGUGACGCAGCUAACGCAUUAAGCAAUCCGCCUGGGGAGUACGGUCGCAAGAUUA
rnacentral:rRNA from 1 species